rnacentral:miRNA from 1 species
AAUGAUUGGGAAACAAGCUACUCUUCGUGAUAUAGUUCUUGAAGAGCUUGUCCAGCCCAUUGACCUGCAUUGCCACGAGGAGUUGCCUGAUCUUCCAGAGGAUA